rnacentral:rRNA from 1 species
ACGGAAGGCAGCAGUGGGGAAUAUUGCACAAUGGGCGAAAGCCUGAUGCAGCGACGCCGCGUGAGUGAAGAAGUAUCUCGGUAUGUAAAGCUCUAUCAGCAGGGAAGAAAAUGACGGUACCUGACUAAGAAGCCCCGGCUAACUACGCGCCAGCAGCCGCGGUAAUACGUAGGGGGCAAGCGUUAUCCGGAUUUACUGGGUGUAAAGGGAGCGUAGACGGUUUGGCAAGUCUGAAGUGAAAUGCGGGGGCUCAACUCCUGAACUGCUUUGGAAACUGUCGAACUAGAGUGCAGGAGAGGUAAGUGGAAUUCCUAGUGUAGCGGUGAAAUGCGUAGAUAUUAGGAGGAACACCAGUGGCGAAGGCGGCUUACUGGACUGUAACUGACGUUGAGGCUCGAAAGCGUGGGGAGCAAACAGGAUUAGAUACCCUGGUA